rnacentral:rRNA from 1 species
UACGUAGGGUGCGAGCGUUAAUCGGAAUUACUGGGCGUAAAGCGUGCGCAGGCGGUUUUGUAAGCCAGAUGUGAAAUCCCCGGGCUUAACCUGGGAAUGGCAUUUGGGACUGCAAGGCUGGAGUACGGCAGAGGAGACUGGAAUUCCUGGUGUAGCAGUGAAAUGCGUAGAGAUCAGGAGGAAUACCGAUGGCGAAGGCAGGUCUCUGGGCUGAUACUGACGCUCAUGCACGAAAGCGUGGGGAGCAAACAGG